CACCCGACAUUUUACCGGUUUUCGACUUUUCUGACGUUUUGCUGGACAUUGUAGUUGGAGGUGCAGCGGCGCUGCUCAAGCGCUCCAAGCGCUCCAAGACGCGCAAGCGCGGAAAGCGAGCCGGCGCGCUUGUCAAGCUCCGAAAGCGCGGCUUUAGAACAGCGCUGCCUAGUAUCCAUCUGGCGAACCUCCGCUCCUUACCCAACAAAAUGGACGAACUUUUCCUCCUGUCCCAAAGAAACAAGGACUUUUUCAACUCUGCUGCUCUGUGCUUCACGGAAACCUGGCUGAAUGAAGCCAUCCCGGACAGCGCGCUACAUCUGCCGGGCUUCCAGCUGUUCAGAGCGGAUCGCGACGCGGAAUCAGCGGGGAAAUCACGUGGCGGUGGGACAUGCUUCUACAUCAACGAAAGGUGGUGUACAGAUGUGACAGCGUUGAAGAAGAUGUGCUGUCCCGACCUGGAAGCGCUCUUCAUCAACUGCAAGCCCUUCUACUCGCCGCGGGAGUUUUCCUCGUUCAUUCUCGUAAGUGUUUACAUUCCACCGCAAGCGUGCGUGAACGCAGCGCUGCAACAGCUGGGCGACCAGAUCACUGACACAGAGCAACAACACCCGGACUCUGUUAUAAUCAUUCUCGGGGACUUUAAUAAAGCAAAUCUCUCCCGUGAACUGCCAAAAUACAGACAGCAUAUUACAUGUCCCACCAGAGACAGUAAUAUUUUGGACCACUGCUACACCACAGUAAAGGAUGCAUAUCACUCUGUUCCACGGGCAGCUUUGGGGCUCUCUGAUCACUGUCUGGUUCAUCUUAUACCGACCUACAGGCAGAAACUGAAAUCAGCUAAACCUGUAAUAAGAACUGUUAAAAGAUGGACUGGGGAAGUAGAGCAGGACUUACAAGCCUGCUUCGAGUGCACUGACUGGAGUGUUUUUGAGGCUGCUGCUAGCGAUCUGGAUGAGCUCACAGACUCUGUAACAUCAUAUGUCAGUUUCUGCGAGGAUAUGUGCAUCCCUACCAGGACUCGUUUAACAUACAACAAUGACAAACCGUGGUUCACUGCAAAACUCAGACAGCUUCGUCAGGCCAAAGAAGACGCCUACAAGAACGGGGACAGAGUCUUGUAUAAACAGGCCAAAAACACACUGGCAAAGGAGAUCAGAGUGGCUAAGAGAAACUACUCUGAAAAGCUGAAGAAACAGUUUUCAGCCAACGAUCCUGCGUCAGUGUGGAAAGGCAUGAAAGACAUCACAAAUUACAAGACACCACCCCCCGGCACCGUGUCAACUCAACAACUAGCCGACGAUUUGAAUGAGUUUUAUUGCAGGUUUGAUAAACCAUGCCUCACACCCUACACCCAUUCAGACCCUCUCUCCACCAAUCACUUAACAACUCAAGUAACC
rnacentral:lncRNA from 1 species